rnacentral:tRNA from 1 species
AGGGAUAUAACUCAGUGGAAGAGUGUCAUUUUGACGUGAUGAAAGUCGUCAGUUCGAUUCUGAUUGUCCCUA